rnacentral:tRNA from 1 species
GCGCCCUUGGCCGAUUGGGGAGGCAGCGAACUCAUAAUUCGCCUUCAGACUGGUUCGAUUCCAGUAGGGCGCAUCA